UACGUAGGGGGCAAGCGUUGUCCGGAAUCAUUGGGCGUAAAGCGCGUGUAGGCGGUCCGGUAAGUCCGCUGUGAAAGUCCAGGGCUCAACCCUGGGAUGCCGGUGGAUACUGUCGGGCUAGAGUACGGAAGAGGCGAGUGGAAUUCCUGGUGUAGCGGUGGAAUGCGCAGAUAUCAGGAGGAACACCAAUAGCGAAGGCAGCUCGCUGGGACGUUACUGACACUGAGGCGCGAAAGCGUGGGGAGCGAACAGG
rnacentral:rRNA from 1 species